GCGCAGGUGGUGGAAUUGGUAUACACGCUAGGUUUAGGCCCUAGUGCCCUAAAAGGCUUGAGAGUUCGAGUCUCUCCCUGCGCACCA
rnacentral:tRNA from 1 species